GUGGAACUAGCUUUGAUACGGUAUCUUAUAUCCGGUGUAGAAAUCCAUGCUGCAGUUUGUAUCAUGUUUGUUAUGGUUUCUGCUGCUUCAUCAAUGUCGUCAUUCGUUUUGAGUGGAACUUUUAGCGAUAGAUUAGUAUCAAUAUAUUUUCUGAAUGCUGACCAAUCAGUUUGUUUGUUGUAUAGACAUUCUUUGGCGGGUCUUGAAAUUAUUGAUGUACUAACCGUACUUAGUACUGGUGUAUGGUCUGAGCAACUAUCAUAGCAACUAUCUAUACUUAUAUACAAGUUUGAUAGCCCUUUAUAUAUAUAGAAGUCUAAGAGGUCCGGUAAUUUGUUGGGAUCUGUAGGCCAGUAAGUUGGUUCACCUGUACUUAAAAUACUGAGGUUAUUUUUGAUUAUACUUGAAUUAAGUUCUCUGCCUCGAGGUAGAGUUAGUCGUGAUCCCCAUUGCACGUUUUUGGCAUUCCAGUCACCACCACAGAUGUAUCUAUUUCCAAGCGUUUUAAAAUAUUCUGUGAAGUGAGUUUCCUUUGGGUUUGGUUUUGGGGGGCAGUAAACAGCUGAGAGAGUAAGUGACCCAUGAUUAUCGUACAAUACAAUGGUUGUAGCUUGUAAGUGAGGUGUUUUGUAGUCUUCAAGGAUAUCAUGUUUCAAAGCUUUCCUUACAAUUACUGCUGUUCCAGCAUGGGCAGUUCCAUCAGGAUGGGGUGUUGUGUAUGUUAUAUAGUCUUUUAUAGCAAAAUUGUGGUUGGUAGUAAGAUGAGAUUCUGACACCAGUAGUACGUCUAUUUUGUGGAUUUUCAAUAGUAGUUCGAAAAUCGAAAUCACAGACAUACACUUAAAUUUUAUUUAUAUGUAUUGGUGCUGUUCAUAAAUAUAGCAUCAGCUGAAACAAACUAGGCAUAGUUAAGUUACAUUUUAUACAGGGUGCUCGGGACUAUUUCUCAUAAAUUCAAGGUGUUGACAAGUCCACUUAUAGGAGUUACCUUAGCUACUAGUUUAUAUUGAGGAGAACUUUCCACCUAGAUGGGUUGUGACUGUAUUAGGAGUCUGGUAAUGAAGACGAAGGACGGUUAAGGGAACUCCUCGAUUGUUGUUCACAGUAGCUACCAUGUGUUGAUAAAUUUGUAUUGAUGAGAACUUUCCACCUAGAUGGGUUUUGACUGUAUUAGGGGUCUGGUAAUGAAGACGAAGGACGGUUAAGGGAACUUCUCGAUGGUUCACAGUAGUAAUUAGUUUGAUUCUAAGUCAGAGGCAAUCAAAUACAAUGUUUUAUCACGACUCAUAGCAACAUACCUUUGGCGCUAGAUCAAUAUCUAGGAUGAUUUCACUAAAAAUGGAAAAAUGAAAAUUUUUAAUUAAAGAAAUUCAACCAACUUCAAAAACAUAAAACAUACUGGCUAAACUAAAAAGCGAAAAAUAAUAUUAUACUAAGUUCAUAUCAUAUUAUGUUCUAACUGAUGAUCAGUUUGAAGGCUGUGCUAAACCGGUGUUGUUUUAAUUUAAGCUGUUACUGAAAGAACUACAUGAAAGAACACUGUCUGAAAAACCUAAAUAUUUAUGAUAUUCUUACAUGGCUUGAAUUAAUACAUCAUUGGGCUAGCACCACCUUCAAACUGAUCAUCAGUUAGAACAUAAUAUGAUAUAUAGAACUUAGUAUAAUGUUAUUUUUCGUUUUUUAGUUUAGUAAGUAUGUUUUUGAAGUCGGUUGACUUGUUUUUAUUAAAGUUUUUUAAUACACAUGUUCCUUAGACAUUUUAAAUAAUUUUCCUUAUAGAACUUGGAGCUACCCUAGAGUUAUGGGAAAUACUCCCGUGCACCCUGUAGAUGCUACUUAAUCCUACUAAUCCUUCAUUCAUCAGUAUCGGUUGGUGGGCUUGGAGUUUAUAAAGAAUAUUAAGUAUAUAUAAUUUAUUUAUGAACAUUCCUCAUUCAUUUGAGCUUUUACUACCCAUAACACAAGCUAAGCUUACUUUGAGACUAGUUAGUGAUGUGUGUAAUGUGUUAAUAUAAAUAUUAACCAACUUUCUGCAGUUUGAGAAUACGCGGAUAAAAUAUAGCCUAUGAUACUCAGAAAUAACUUGGCUUUCUAGUGGUAAAAGAAUUUUCAAAAUUGGAUCCAGAGUUUACCUGCUAGAACACCACCAACUUUACCUCUUUAUAAUACAUACUAGCGGACGCCCGCGACUUCGUCCGCGUAAAAAUCGAUGUCAACUUUCAACCCCUAUUUCACAUUCUAUUUUGCAAGUUUUAUAACUUAUAUCUUGUAACUAAAAAAAUUAAGGACUUUCCGUACAAACUUUCUACCCCUACUUCACCCAAUUCUGAUUUUGUUUUCACGACAAAAAGUAUCCUAUUAUCCUUCUACGUAUUAUGGUCUCAAAUCGUCUUAAGUAUCGUUUGAAUUCAUUCUGUAGUAUCAGCGUGAUGCCCGGUCAAAAAAAAGGCAAACAGACAGACAAAAAAUAGAAAAUAUGAGCGUGGUGCGAUGACAAAGGAAAAUAGAGACUUCUAUGCUAAAAUUAUAAUCUUUGGAUCUACUGGACCGAUUUGAAAGAUUGUUUUAUCAAUAGAAAGCUACGUUAUUUGCGAGUGUCAUAGGCUAUGUUUGAUUCCCAUAUUCACACAGGAACGAGAACCACGUAAUGGAAAGCGCGGGGCGUCAUGUAGCGGACUUUCUGCGUCUUUGAGAAAUUUUGUAUUAUCUCCAAAACUAAUUAACAUACUAUAAAGGGCAAAUCUUAUCUCCAUAAUAUCCUUGUGAUUAUUAAAUAAUUUAUUUUGAUAAGGAUUUAAGUUAAGUAGCAUAAAUAAUGACGCAAACCUAAGUAUAUAAAAUUUAUAAUUUUCAAAACACAAAAGGUACUAUAUCUGCUAAUAUAUAGAAGAUAGAUAUAUGGUGUCGCGGACUUUUUUGUAGAACUUUUAAAGAUACAUAAAGCAUCCAUACAUUAAUUUCAAUUUUACACAAUGGUUAAGGCAGCGCAUGCGAAUAAGUCUGCUUAAGAGGAUUUUCGGUCCGACCUGUAUGACAAAAACUGUGUUAACUCGGCGAAUAUAUAUCAUGCUAAUAUAAAAUAUAGCCUAUAGCACUCCCCGAUAAUGUAGCAUUCUACUGGUGAAAGAAUUUUUUAAAUCGGACCAGUAGUUCCGAAAAUUACCCCAUUUAAAAAAUGUGACAAACUUACAAACUUUACCUCUUUAUAAUAUUAGUAUAGAUUUACAACCCAUUUUCGGCUCAUUGUUGAGCACGAGUCACUUCUCAGGACGAGAGGGGUUAGGCCUUAGUCCUCCAUGCUGGCCCAAUGCGGAUUGGCAGACUUCACACACCUAGACAAUUAAGAAAAUUCUCAGUUAUGCAGGUUUCUUCACAAUGUUAUGCUUCACCAUUUAAGACAUUUAAUUUAAAAAUGGGUUGAAUACAUAUCAAUAUAGAUUUUUAUUGUGAGUUUCUUGAAAGAAGGAAAUGCUCAAUAUUUCAUAGACCAACCCAGGACUCAAACUCAGAAUUUCAUGAUAGUUACACUGAACCAAUAAAGCAGUUAGAGAGAGAGAGAGAGAGAGAUAAAUAAAAAGAGUUUAUUAUGUAUUAAAAUUAAAAUAUAUACCUAAUGCUUUCAGCAAUCCUGCUUCUUCACAUGAAUUUUACCCGCAUGACGACGGUUUUUAAUAUAAAAAAUAUUUACACAAUGUCUCAAAAAGCAAUCAAAGCUUUCAAAAAUAAACAAUGUUCGCAGAAGUUCAGUACCAACAAACUCACAAAAAAUGAGCCCAAAAUUUAGCAUUACUUGCAAGCCAGACUAAGAAAUUUCAAGAAGAUAAUUUAAAAGAAGACAAUAGAAUAAAAUAAUAUUAACACACAAUGCUUAGCAAAUAUAGCAUUAACAGAUGGAAACCAGGCAAUAGGUGUAGCAAAAUAGAAGAUGAAGGUCUAGCUGUGCCAGUCAGUGCUGAGCCACACAGUUGCUGCUGGCAUGUUUGCAAAAUAGCAAAAGGUGUAGCAAAAUAGAAGAUGAAGGUCUAGCUGUGCCAGUCAGUGCUGAGCCACACAGUUGCUGCUGGCAUGUUUGCAAAAUAGCACAAGGUGCUGUAAAAUGAAGAUAUAUUGUUAAAUAUCAUGAGAUAGAAAUAAAAGAUGAAGAUCUAGCUGUACCCGUCCCGAGCCACACUACUGCAGCCACGUUGCUGCUGGCAUUUUUGCAAAAUAGCACAAGGUCACAACAAUUGAUGUAACAAAUAUAAUCAAUGGACCAGGCACCUGCACCAUGAUUCUUUGGAAUACUAAAAUUCGUCUCUUUAUGUCUGUACUUCUCAUAAUAAAAAAUGUCACGUUUUUAUGAAAGAAAUAAUGGAAUCAAAUAAUAAAUAAAACAAGCAUAUGCUGGAAGUCCUCAGAAACAGCUCCGACUUUGAUGAUUUUUUUUAAAGUCAUGUUUUUUAUGUUAUUUAAAAUCAGAAAUGUUUUGGUGGACGAAAUUAUUUAAAUUGUUAAAAAAUAUCUAUGCUAUUUAUACAUAUUUUUUUUUUAAAUACAACCGACUUCAAAAAUACAAACUUAUGCAGAAAACUAACAAACGAAAGAAAAUAUUAUAAUAUUUUCUAUCUAUUGAUCACUUUGAAGGCGGUGCCAAUGUUCCAAUUAAUGGGCCGACAAUUAGUUAUCUAUUGUUUACUAGCUAUAGGGCUCGAAUUGCUUUUUCAUAUCUUUAAAAGACUAUCUUCGGAAUGAACCCUUUAUAAUAAAAAAGUAUUAUCAAAAUCGGACCACUCAAUAAAAAGUUAUACUUGGUUGUAUACUAAAAUUAAUGGUUAAACAAUCAAUCAUCCCCUGUUUUCGUAAUGUAAAACCAAGAAUAACUGUUAACAUGAGUAGUCCGAUUUUGAUAAUUCUUUUGAUUGAUCAUUCUUGAUUGUUUUAGUUUAAAACCAAGCAUGUCUUCGAAUUCCGAUUUGAAUAACUUUGUUUUAAAUAGAAAGGGUAUAUUCCGACAAUGGUCCCAAAUCAUUAUAAAUUUUAAAAAAACGAAGAUGACUGGUUAUUUUCCCAUUAAUUGUAUUGUAAAACUAUGUGUAACUUAGUUAUAUGUAACUUAUUACGAAGUGGUCCGAUUUCGUAAAUUCUUUAUAGAUUGUAAAGGUAUUUUGAUUGUAAAGCUCCCAUAUAAAUUUUAAAAAACAAUUCCAAUCCUUAAUGUGCGAUUGAUUGUUUUCUCAUUCAUUUUAAUGUAAAACCAAGCAUAACUUUUUAUUGGGUGGUUCUAUUUUGAUUAUUCUUUUUUUGAUAGAAAGGGUAUAUUCCUAAAAGUCUCAUAAAAUGUUGGAAAACAAUUUCAAACCUAAUAGUAGGAAAAUAGAAGAUGAUUAAUUGAUUUUCCAUUUAUUGUAAUGCGUAACUUUUUACUGAGUGGACCGAUUUUGAAAAUUCUUUACUUUUUGUAAAGGGUUUAUUUCGAAGUAGGUCCCAUAUAAAUUUCGGAAAACAAUUCGAAUCCUUAAGGUGGAAAAAAAACUGUACGAUUGAUUGCCUACCCAUUAAUUGUACAAUUGGCACCGGCUUCAAAGUAAUCAGUAGAUAUGAAAUAUUAUAAUGUUUUCUUCAGCUUAUUAGUUUACUGCAUAACUUUGUGUUUUUGAAGUCGGUAGUGUUUGUUUUUUAAUUAUUUAUUAUAUAAAUAGCAUAACUAUUGUUAAAUAGUAUAAAUCGUUCCAUCCUCACUCCAAAAGGUUUCUGAUUUCAAAUAAUAUGAAGAAACAAACUGAACAAAAAAAAUCAUCAAAAUCAGAGCUGUUUCUGAGGAAGUAGAGGGUAAAUGCUCUAUUGAUUCGCCUAAAAGUAAUAUUAUGAUUUUUUAUCGCAUUAGGUUGUAAAGUUCCGCUAGUGAAAGUAGAGACUGAAAUUGCCCGCCAAAUUUAAAAAUCAUAUAAACAAAGUAAAAAAACAUGCGUUUUCAUAAUUUACUUAAAUUAGUUUUUAUUUGUGAAUACAUUAUUACCUAUACUAUAAGUGUUAAACUCAGUUAUUCCAAUAUUUGCACUAUAAUUUUGAGAAUUUACUCCGAUUUUUUAAAAUUUGGCGGGUGAUUUCAGUUUCUACUUUUAUUAGCCAAAUUCUAAUAAUUUUAUUGUUUAUGAAAUUUAUACUAAUUAGAAAGAGGAAGAAUUUGAUUAUUUGUUUGUUUGCAUUGAAUAGGCUCUGAAACUACUUUGCUGAUUUAAAAAUUUCUUACAGCAUUAUAAUCAUGGAUUAGGCUAUAAUUGUUAUCUCUGUAUUCCCACGGGAACGAGAACUACGCUGGUGAAACUGCGUGACGUUUGCAUAGUUUAUCAUAUGUACAAAUAUCCCGACAAUCUAUAUUUUUAUGUAUGAAUUGGUUAAGUUAUAAUUGACUUGAUUUUCCCAAAUAUAUCAGUGAAGUCACCCAAUUGAUGCAUAGAUAUAUUUUUAUUUUGGUUUUCAUUUUACUUACUUACUAAAAUUUAGUUUUAGAAGCAAAAUGAAUAUAUGUAGAUUACAUUUUAGGUGCUGAUGUUUACUUAGUUAUUGAUUAAGUGCAUAAGAUUUUUUAUUUGAUAAUAAAGACAUUUCAACUUGAAACUGUUA